AUACGUAGGUGGCGAGCGUUGUCCGGAAUUACUGGGCGUAAAGGGUGCGUAGGCGGAUAAUCAAGUCAGAUGUGAAGGUCCAUGGCUCAACUGUGGGAGUGCAUUUGAGACUGAAGAUCUAGAGUGCAGGAGAGGGAAGCGGAAUUCCUAGUGUAGCGGUGAAAUGCGUAGAUAUUAGGAAGAACACCAGUGGCGAAGGCGGCUUUCUGGACUGUAACUGACGCUGAAGCACGAAAGCGUGGGGAGCAUACAGGAUUAGAUACCCUGGUAGUCCACGCUGUAAACGAUGAGUAAUAGGUGUAGGGGACGAUAGUCUUCUGUGCCGGAGCAAACGCAAUAAAUACUCCGCCUGGGGAGUACGGUCACAAGACUAAA
rnacentral:rRNA from 1 species